AGCGAACGCUGGCGGCAUGCCUAACACAUGCAAGUCGCACGGGGGGGCUUCGGCCUCCCAGUGGCGGACGGGUGAGGAACGCGUAGGGACCUGUCGAGGGGUGGGGGAUAACCGCGGGAAACUGCGGCUAAUACCGCAUGACGCCGCGGCGUGACAGCCGGGGCCAAAGGCGAAAGCCGCCCGCCGAGGGGCCUGCGUCCGAUUAGCUGGUUGGCGGGGUAGCGGCCCACCAAGGCGUCGAUCGGUAGCUGGUCUGAGAGGGUGAUCAGCCACACCGGGACUGAGACACGGCCCGGACUCCUACGGGAGGCAGCAGUGGGGAAUAUUGGACAAUGGGCGCAAGCCUGGUCCAGCAAUGCCGCGUGGGUGAAGAAGGUCUUCGGAUUGUAAAGCCCUUUCGGCGGGGACGAUGGUGACGGUACCCGCAGAAGAAGCCCCGGCUAACUUCGUG
rnacentral:rRNA from 1 species